GUAAAAUGAACAAAUAUUUUUUUGAGUCAUUCGUUCAUUUCAAGAUAAAUUCCUACAUUAAAAUAAUGUAUCAUGACAGUCUGGAUGAUUUGAAGUAAUCAUUUAUUUUCACACUAGCAUUCAAUUAUCACGGCAUAACUAUUACGCUGAACUAUAAGUAAAGUACAAAAAAGUUAAAAUAACAAAACCUGUAAUUAUUACUUGUGAAAGAAUAUCAUUCACGUCUUACUAAACCUAGCCACGCGAAAAUGAACGAUGUAAACAAAUCCUUUCUGUUUCCUCUUCUGAGCGCAGGUCACGUGAAAAAUGAUCCUAAGAUCCGUAUCCGAAGACCCAGUCAAAAUGAACGAAUCAGUUCUGGUUUCUCUAGCUACCAGUGCUGAGCCUCUGCAGGUCACGUGAAAAAUCUGUAUCCGGCAGAUGAACGAAUCGUUCACCUCCCGACCGUGUCUUCGGGUCAAUAAUUCGUUCAUCGUUUUCAUUUUCACGGCGUUUACGUGCGUUUACCCUCCACUACAGCCCUGCUUGGAACGAUUCGUUCAACGACACAUCACUACUUUCUGCAGUAGCGGACACAUUUGUCCCGUAUUUUCCUCCAGAACUUUGGGCACCUCUCGACCGGCAAACCGGCGCUUACGGACAUCUCCCUCCGUGAAUCCAACCCGCCAAUGACGGCUUGUAUAAGCGGUCAUAUUUACGCAUUUAUUCCGACAAAAGUUCUUAAAUCUGAUCCGUUCUCUCGUAAACAUUCUUCGUUUUAAUAAUGGCGGUAUCGUGCUAUGAAAGCGGAAAUGUGAGACUCCGUAAAGGACGUAGUUAGCGGACCAAUCGCAGCCUGGUGCGCUGCGGGAGGCUUGCGUUGCUUGCGUCGCUUUUGACGCAAGCCUAGAAAAAUGGCUCGACGCAGGGAGGUGUGAAAAGGAGCGUUGACGGGCUGCAGCGUGGAGGUUCAUUGAGUCUCUGAUUGACAGAGUGGGAGAGAAGAUGUCGUCUGUCGUCCAGCAGCAGAGAACAAACAGACAUUCAUGACUCUGCAGUUGCACUUGACUGCGUCAUUAGAGACGCUCACACGUCCCGUUGAACUCGUUGAGCUUGAAUUUGUGUUAUUUGUGGAGAAUUGAAUUUGUUUUAUUUGUGAAGAAUUAAAUUUGUUUUAUUUGUGGAGAAUUGAAUUUGUUUUAAUGGUGGAGAAUUGAAUUUGUUUUAUUUGUGGAGAAUUGAAUUUGUUUGUGCUUUGAGUUGCCUGACUUCAUUCUUUAGAAACAUUCAUGUUUUAAUCAAAAUGUUCCAUAGAGGAAGAAGUAGAGGAACACAUGUUCAUCUACUUUAAAUAUUCUCUUCUUUUGCCGUUAUUCUAAGACAAGAUGUUUUAUUACAGGAAGAAGAGAGUCAACAAUUCAAAUCAGGCUCAAAGUGUCGACUCACACCUGCGUGUGUCAUUCAAUUUAUUCAAGUCAACAAAUAACAAAGAACAUGAGAUUUUCUUUGGUUAUCAAAAUGUAUUUAUUAUUGUUUAGAUAAUAAUCACAUGAGAUUACUUACAUGAUACAAUAACACACAUACAAACAAUAACAAUAAUACAACACAAUGAUUGGGGGGAAAUCUGAAGGAGUUCCUGAGAAGAAAGAAAAGAAGUAGUUAUUGACAUGUUAAUGUCGUUAGUGUGUCUGUGUGUAGAACAAAAUGUUAGUUUGUCUAUGUGUACAUCUAAAUGUUAAAUGAUCUAUGUGUAUCUCAAUAUUAAUGUGUCUAUGUGUACAUCUCAAUAUU
ensembl:lncRNA